CAGCACGUCAGAGGAAGAAGAUGGAGCUGUGAGUGAUGCUUGCAGUACAGCUUGGUGGUACUGCACAGGCUUGGCAUACUUCAGAGCUUCAAACCCAGUUGUUUCCGUGCUUCCAUACUUUGGGAUCUACAAAUGAAGAGAAUGUCAGUCAGGUUGUACACAGUGCUCUGGAUGGAAAACACGGAGGUGCUCAGAGAGGUGGUGUAUACUCCGUCCCCAGACAAUCAGGCUCGUGCAUCGUCUUCCCAGAAGUAUAUCUGCAACUACCUAAGAGCCCAAACCUGUAAGUUCUGAAAACUUUUGCACGGUAUCUGAUUGGCUGAGGGACCAGAGAGAUUACCUGUGCAGCUCAGUUUCUCUCUUCUUCGCAAGCAGAGUUCCCUCACUGAUGUGCUUUCCUCCUCCUCUAACUUCUGCUGCUCCAAAGGAUGCAUGGAACAAAAUGGUCUUCAAAUGCUUCUCUCUGCUGGCACUAGCAAGGGUGUUCUGCCAAUUCCUACAUCAGCACUCCUUGAUCUGGGUCCUGAGAACUCAGCGAGUGCUGUAUUCUGAAGCUAGGAGCCAUAGAGUUGGGCAUUCUGACUGCCUCUGUGCCUAGAUGAGUCGUCAUAGGGCAAGAGGAGGAGAAACGAGACUGGAAAAAAUAAGAGUGAUGAGAGAGAGAGAGGAAGAGAGAGAUCUCCUUUGCUAACAACUGCCAAGAUGCACAGCAUGCUCAGUGAGACUAUACUCAACAAAGCCCUGUGUCUUGGAGAUCGUUG